CUCUCUCUCUCUCUCUCUCUCUCUCUAACUCUCUCUCUUGCUUUCGCUGUAAGCUCUCACUGCCACACAUCACUGAUCACACCCAGCAGUCGCAGCAGCAGCAGUGCUGCAGCAAGCUUCAGCCUUCGGACCAGAGGAAACAAAAGCAAAAACCUAAAGGAAUACCCAAAAAAAAAAGAAAAAAAAAAAAGAAAACAAAUCUCAGUAUUGAAAGUCCAAACUUUUGUUCCCAAUCCCCCCACCCCAAAAGCUUUUGAUUUGAUUGGAUAGCCAACAAACCCAAUUCACCCCCCGUUUCCCAUACAAAGCGUGAAAGCAGUAGAAACAAACAGAAAAAAAAAAACAAAAACAAAAACGAAAAAGAGGGGGGCUUUUUCUCUUUUUGAGACUCCAAGCUUCUUUUUUAGCAAUGCAAAGCCACAAUUGCUACCGUCUACCUCUUAAAAAUGCAGGCAUGAACCCCCCCUCUCGUUCUCUCUCUCUCUGUCUCUCUUUCGCACUCUUUUUCUCAUUUCCAAAAGCGCUUUUCUUCAGCUUCUGCUUUGGCUUUAUUGUUAUUUCACAGUUUAGGGGCUUUUGAUUUCAUGGGUCUGAUCGAUCUCAACACGACGGAGGACGACGAAACGCCGUCUUCCGGUUCCUCCGCUUCGUCAUGGUGCUCUGCCUCUGUUCUGAGCGCUUCGGCCUCGGCUUCGGCGUCGUCGGUCUGCCUGGAGUUGUGGCACGCGUGUGCAGGCCCACUGAUUUCGCUUCCGAAGAAGAAUAGUGUCGUGGUGUACUUCCCGCAGGGACACUUGGAGCAGGUUCCGGAUUUUCCUCUUGCAGCCUAUGAUCUCCCUCCCCACGUGUUCUGUCGCGUUACUGAUGUCAAGCUACAUGCGGAGGAGGGCACCGAUGAGGUUUAUGCGCAGGUCGCACUGGUUCCUGAAAACGAGCAAUUCGAGCAUAAACUUCAAGAAGGGGAAGUCGAUGCAGAGGGGGAGGAAGACGAUGCUGAUGUAGCUGCAAAGUCGUCCACACCCCACAUGUUCUGUAAGACUCUUACUGCUUCUGAUACUAGCACACAUGGAGGCUUCUCUGUACCUCGUCGAGCUGCUGAGGACUGCUUCCCUGCCCUGGACUAUAAGCAACAGAGGCCUUCUCAAGAGCUCGUGGCGAAGGAUCUACAUGGUUUGGAAUGGAGGUUUCGACAUAUCUACAGGGGGCAACCGCGAAGACAUUUGCUCACUACUGGCUGGAGUGGUUUUGUAAACAAGAAGAAGCUUGUCUCUGGAGAUGCUGUGCUCUUUCUUCGGGGUGAGGAUGGAGAAUUGCGACUGGGAAUCCGAAGAGCUGCUCAAGUUAAAGGUAGCGGCAGUUUUUCGGCUCUCUGUAGCCGGCAGAUGAAUCAUGGCUCUCUGAUGGAUGUGAUUAAUGCUAUAUCUACUAGAAGCACCUUCAACAUUUACCAUAAUCCAAGUAUAUCUAGUAGGGCCAGUUCAUCAGAAUUCAUAAUACCUCUCCGUAAGUUCUUGAAGAGCCUGCAACAUUCUUUUUCAGUUGGAAUGAGGUUCAAAAUGCGUUUUGAAGCAGAAGAUGCAGCUGAGAGAAGAUACACAGGGCUUGUAACUGGAAUAGGUGAUAUGGAUCCUGUUAGAUGGCCUGGUUCAAAAUGGAGAUGCCUACUGGUUAGGUGGGAUGAUGUGGAGACUAGGCAUAACAGGGUUUCUCCAUGGGAAAUUGAGCCAUCUAGUUCUCUUUCGGGUUCCACUAGCUUGAUGGCGCCUGGUUCAAAGAGGACCAGGAUUGGAUUUCCUUUAGGAAAAUUGGAAUUUCCAAUUCCCAAUGGGAUUGGAGUAUCAGACUUCGGGGAAUCUUUAAGCUUCCAGAAGGUCUUGCAAGGUCAAGAAAUUUUGGGUUUUACUCAUGAUGGUAUCGAUACUCAUAAUCUGCAGUAUCUGCGUACAUCUGAAACGAGGAGGUGUAUUCCUGGUUCAAAUGGUUCUGGGAUUGCUGCAAUAGGAGAUGGUGUUAGAAACCCAAUUGUGAACUCUGAUAUCUCCUAUAAAGGCAUGGGCUUUGGUGAAUCUUUGCGAUUCCAGAAGGUCUUGCAAGGUCAAGAAAUAUUUCCAAGCUUGCCAUAUGAAAGAGCCCCAUCAACUAAUGAGGCUCAUGGCAAUGGUGGCCUUGGAAUCCUUGAUGGUGUUCAAGUGAUGAGCUCGUGGAAUGGAUGGCCUGGGAUGAUGCGGGGCAAUAAUACAACUAUGUGCCCAUUUUCCCCACCUAUGCAAGCUUCAUCACCAUCCUCUGUCUUAAUGUUCCAGCAAGCAACUAAUCCAGUUUCAAACUUAGGUUCAAUGGAUAAGUUCAAUAGUCUGGAGGAUCAGAGAAUUAGUAACCAAAGUUUGUCUGUUUCUGAAGAAAUUGGUGGAAAGCUCACAGCAUCCUCACUAUAUGAACAUAACUUCCGCAGGAAAGAUCAAGGAGGCACAAAUUCUUCCAGUUUCGAGCAUAAUCAACUGGUCUCUACACUCCCUCCUCUUGCAACUCAAUCCACCUUUGAGGGCAGCCAGGAUCUAGUUCCCACAUGUAAAAGUAGCUGCAGACUCUUUGGGUUUUCAUUGACAGAGGGAAAACAUGUUGCAAAUACUGAGGACUCCACUCCAGCUUCGUCCCCAUUGAAUCCUGGAGCUUCUUUUCUGCCUCAUGUUGGGGACCAGUUCCAUCCCAAGCCUCCUUCACUGAUGACCAAGGCAGUUGGAACUGCUUGUACCGAAGAAACCAGUCUUCCUAAGCUAGACAUAUGUGAUUUAUCUGAUUAUGGGUUGGAGCUGGAUUUGAUAUGGAAUGGCGUUUUGCUAGUCUGGGAAAAUCACGGAAUGUUACAAGAAUAGUGAGGAUGAUGCUUUUCUGGAGAUGAUCCAUGGCAGUAAUAUCUGACUAUUCCUUUCCAAUAUCAGUGACAUUAUCUUUUGCUCUCUGUAUCAAGCCUGAAGCGGGUGUUUUUACCAUCUUGAGUAGCACAUGGCACAUCACAAGGCUCACCCAAAGAUGCUGGCUUAGGGAUGGAUGGUACUAAAAUGUCAUGGUAUUUUGUACCAUCUAGCUUGAAGCGCAUCUCAUGGGAUUGUGCAGAAAACAUCCCGCUAGCCUAAUCAACAAUUGGCUUCUAUUUCUACUUUCAAGUAGAUUCUUCUGGAUUUGCCUUUCUUUCCGAAAUUCUGCAAUAUUUUCACAAGAACUAUGAUAUCUACUAAAGGUGUAGUACUGGUCCCUGAGGUUGCAGAGGAGAUGCCUGUAGUUUGCUCAGAUUGUGUUCUGCCAUUGGUAUUAAAAUUAUAAAUUAGCCUGUGAGGAGAUAAUUGUAAUUAUAACCUCUAGGCAACUUGAUUGUAUCUUAACUUCAAGAACAACUUGUGUUUCUCUGUUAGUUUUCUUAUGAUCGCCUACAAUGAUAUGUUUUAACAUAUCAUAUUCUAGGAAAUUGGAUACUUUUAUGGUGGUUGGCUUCUAUUUGUCAAGUUGUUUUAUCCUUUGUGAACUUGUCUGUUCCAGUUUUGACUGCAA